rnacentral:rRNA from 1 species
CCAGACUCCUACGGGAGGCAGCAGUAGGGAAUCUUUCACAAUGGGCGAAAGCCUGAUGGAGCAACGCCGCGUGCAGGAUGAAGGCCUUCGGGUUGUAAACUGCUUUUAUAAGCGAGAAAUAUGAUGGUAACUUAUGAAUAAGGAUCGGCUAACUACGUGCCAGCAGCCGCGGUCAUACGUAGGAUCCGAGCAUUAUCCGGAGUGACUGGGUGUAAAGAGUUGCGUAGGUGGGCGCUUAAGUCAGGUGUGAAAACUCCGGGCUCAACCUGGAGACUGCACUUGAAACUGGGUGUCUUGAGGGCAGGAGAGGAAAGUGGAAUUCCUAGUGUAGCGGUGAAAUGCGUAGAUAUUAGGAGGAACACCAGUGGCGAAGGCAACUUUCUGGACUGUACCUGACGCUGAGGCGCGAAAGCGUGGGUAGCGAACGGGAUUAGAUCCCCCCGUA